AGGACGAACGCUGGCGGCGCGCUUAACACAUGCAAGUCGAGCGAGAACCAGGGCUUCGGCUCUGGGGACAGCGGCGAACGGGUGAGUAACACGUGAGUAAUCUGCCCUCGACACUGGGAUAGCCCGGGGAAACCCGGAUUAAUACCGGAUAGCCUUUCGAGCUCUCGGACUCGUCAGAAAAGGAUGGCUUCGGCUUUCGGUUGAGGAUGAGCUUGCGGCGGAUUAGCUAGUUGGUGAGGUAACGGCUCACCAAGCCUACGAUCCUUAGCUGAUCUGAGAGGAUGAUCAGCCACACUGGGACUGAGACCACGGCCCCGACUACCGUACCGGUACGGACGACG
rnacentral:rRNA from 1 species